rnacentral:rRNA from 1 species
CAGGACGAACGCUGGCGGCGUGCCUAACACAUGCAAGUCGAACGGACUGAUUCCUUCGGGAAUGAAAGUUAGUGGCGGACGGGUGAGUAACGCGUGAGCAACCUGCCUUUCAGAGGGGAAUAACGUUUGGAAACAGACGCUAAUACCGCAUAACGCAUAGGUGUCGCAUGGCAUUUAUGCCAAAGGAGCAAUCCGCUGAAAGAUGGGCUCGCGACCGAUUAGAUAGUUGGUGGGGUAACGGCCUACCAAGUCGACGAUCGGUAGCCGGACUGAGAGGUUGAACGGCCACAUUGGGACUGAGACACGGCCCAGACUCCUACGGGAGGCAGCAGUGGGGGAUAUUGCACAAUGGGCGAAAGCCUGAUGCCAGCAACGCCGCGUGAGGGAUGACGGUUUUCGGAUUGUAAACCUCUGUCUUUGGUGACGAACAAAUGACGGUAGCCGAGGAGGAAGCCACGGCUAACUACGUGCCAGCAGCGGC